UUCUACUGCCUGGUCUGGCUAGGGUUACCCACAUGCUGCAGAAUCCUACUGCCUGAUUUGGUUAGGCAUAACGCCAUGCAGAGGCCUCCUACUGUCUGGUCUUGUUAGGUGCAACCCCUGCAGAGGCUCCCCAAAUACGACCUCUGAUCAGACGUGGCGACUCGCUGAAUGUAAGCAUGUUACCAAACAGAGGAAAAUAAACUAACUAGGAUUCCCUCAGUAAUGACAAGGGAAGAGCCCAGCGCCAAAUCCCCAUGCGUGGGAAAUGUGGCGUACAGAAGACCGACUACUGGGUGUCGCUCAGGGCUCCCAAGUCCUUCUGAUCGAGGCUCACCUUGCAGACGAUGUUUGCUGGUAGCAUCCCCCGGGGCGCCGGGAUCGGCUAUUCUUGCAAUCUGUUUGCUCGGGAUUGCAGCUCAAAGCAGGUGGUAAACUCCAUCUAAGGCUAAAUAGGGGCACGAUGGCGAUGGCUUACGAGUACUGUAAGGGAAAAGUUGAAAAGAACAUUGAAAAGAGUUUGAGAGGUAAACGGGUGGGUCAGUGCAGUCUGCACAGAGGAUUCAACAUGGCGGGCAGGUUGGUCACCCGGAAUGGUGGCUACCCUUGCAGUACCGUCGCCCAGAUGCAACUGGCCCCUGCAAGGUGCCUUUACUCUUGGUGCUCUGCGACCGGUUCUGGGUCGACUGGAAAGGCCCUGGGGGGUAGGUGGCUCUCCAGUCCAGCUAAUAGUGUUACAGCCCUUCGGCAACUAUCGCAGCCCCCUAUCAGGGGGGUCAUUGGGGGCAGUGGCUGGGGACUUGUCCCAUGCUCCUGGUGCCACUGUUGGCUGGGGUGGACUGACCUCAGUGCACCCCGACCGCAUCACGCUGCCGGGCGGGUAGGCCCACGAAUGACACCAGGGGUCUGUGGUGAUGUUAGUCCACAGACCAAGGAAUCUAACGUGUGCGAGUCGGAGGGCCGAACAAAACAGUUUGGCUCAAUGAAGGUGAGGACAGGCGCAUGCACCACCGGCAUGUCUCACCCACUCUGUCGGGGAGGUGGAGAUUUGGCAUGUGUUAUAGCACCCGAAAGAUGGUGAACUACUCCAGUGAAGGGCAAAGCCAGAGGGAACUCUGGUGGUGGUCCGUAGAGGUCCUGACCUGCAAAGCGGUCAUCCCACCUGAGUGUAGGGGCAAAAGACUAAUCGAUAGCUCGAUCCCUCUGAAGUUUCCUUCAGGAUAGCUGGCACUCUGAACCCCCAGUUUUAUCUGGUAAAAUUAAUGAUUAGAGGUGUUGGAGCGAAAAUGAUCUCAACCUAUUCUCAAACUUAAGAAAGCCGGCUCACUGGUGUGGAUUUGGGCAUCGAUUGUGAGUGUCCAGUGGGCCACUUUUGGUAAACCGAACUGGUGCUGCGGGAUGAACUGAACGCUAGGUAAAGGCGCUCGAUGCCGACUAUCAUUAGACCCCGAAAAGGUGGUGGUGUUCAUGGAAGCCAGAAUCCACUAAGGAGUGUGUAACAACUCACCUGCUGAAUUAACUAACACUGAAAAUGGAUGGAUUUGAGCUGGCCCUCCCGGUGAAUCGCCCCACCUGCAGUGGUCGUCUCUCUCCAUUCCCCUCCCGGGUUUCGGCACUGGCAUUGUGCGUCAACCGAUGCCUAGCAGCUGACUUUGAACUGGUGCAGACCAAGGUAAUCCAACUUUUUAAUUAAAACACUGCAUCGCGAAGGCACGCGGUGGGUGUUGACGAGAUGUAAUUUCUGCCCAGUGCUCUGAAUGCCAAAGUGAAGAAAUGUAAUGAAGCGCUGGUAAACGGCAGGAGUAACUAUGACUCUCUUAGGUAGCCAAAUGCCUCAUCAUCUCAUUAGUGAUGAGCAUGAAUGGAUGAACGAGAUUCCCACUGUCCCUGCCUACUAUCUAGCAAAACCACAGCCAAGGGAACAGGCUUGGCAGAAUAGGUGGGGAAAGGCCACGUUGAGCGUGACUCUAGUCUGGCACUGUAAAGAGACAUGAGGGGUGUAGAAUAAGAAGUGCGAGGCCCUCUGGCCACUGGUGAAAUACCACUACUCUUAUUAUUUUUUCACUUACCUGUUGAGGUGGGGGGGCGAUGAGACCCGUGGGGCUCCUGCUUCCAGCUCCAAGCGCAGGUGAGGAGUUUGACUGGGGCGGUACACCUGUCAAAUGAUAAGGCAAGCUCAGGGAGGACCGAAACCUCCCAUGGCGCAGAAGGGCAAUCCCGCCCCUUCCCUGUACAACUAGAGCGUCCCCAUCACAACACUACACUGCUCCAUCACUUUUCAGCCCACUCUGCCAUUGGAGGGGGAACAGCGAUAUAUGUAAAUUACUCUUGUUUCCACCCCAAGGUGACAAUCCAUCCCAAACUGCUAGUGUCACCCACUUCUGUAUAGGACCACAAGCAACUGUAGACAUGUUUCGGCCUCGUUGUAGUUUAGGUAGGCUGCGUCAUGGAGCCAGCCUCAGUGGGGAGUCUUUGCAGGGAAGUAGGAGCAGUGUUUUAUUGUCGGAAUGGCACAUACUUGAAGAGGUCACUGCUGCUUUGCAUAGCGCUUCCUGGCAUCAGAGGCUAGAUACGCCUGCUGCUCCAUGUUGGAAGAUGAGGACUUCGGAGUUCUUGGUGUGGGAGGCUGAGUCCCUCUGCUGCACGGUGU
rnacentral:rRNA from 1 species